CGCUGCAGCCCCCGCGCGCGCGCCAGGGUGGGGGGGGAGAAAGCUGCGUUCGAACCGCCCCCCCGCAACGGCCGUAACGGUCCCGCCCGCCUGCCCGCCCGCGGGGGCGGCGCCCCCGCACGGGAGCCCCGGGGGCAGAGGAGCGUCUUCAACCACCCAGGCUGGGAAAACGCGGCCUCCCUGCUUUUCUUCGCAAAAAAACAGAACAAAACAAAACAACAACGUGCAGGGAAAGGAAGGCAAUUGCAAGAACUUCAGCGAACGACAAACCAGCCAGGUGGGGUACUGCAGGUUGUACUGCAGAGCACACUGCAGAGAUUUCGAUUUUGGAGUCAUUUCUGACAUCUCUUCUGACAUCACGUGGCUGCCUCAGAACUGGCAAGAGAACAGUGUAUGGUACCCAGUUUUCAGAGCAAGACCUUCAGCUGCAAGUACACAGAACUGACCACAUGGCCCUGUGCUCUAUUACCAGAAAGAACCUGAUUUAGAGGCAAUAAAAUGCAAUCAGUACACAAACCAGAAGCAGGAAUCAUCUGCUAAUGGAACUUUUAAUUGAGGAGUGACCACUGACAUGAGGUUUACAGCACACAGUCAAAAUUCAGCAGAGAGAAACUCCUUUGGAAACAGCACUUGAGAAUCCUAACCUCCGCUCUCGAGCUACGGGUCUCAGAGUUUUGGCAGCCUGCCCAAAUAACAACUUUUGUGUUCUAGAGAGCCAAUUCCACUCUGCUGCCAAAGCCGCAGCAGGAAAUCCUGCACGUGGGAAGACUGGAGUGCAGACAGAACAACUACCACAUGGAGAGAGGAGGUAAACCAGAUCAGGUGCUCCCCUCACAGCCCUUUCCUACCUACCUAAGGGCAAGUGGAUUACAGCAUCCCAUCCAUACCUCUGGGCACCCACAGAGCAACAAGUCUUAACUUCCCAGGCGGGACGGAAAAGAGGAUUUGGGCCUAGAAUGCCUCUGUCUGAACAUCCCUGACAGCACAUGGCACCAUCAGCUCUCAAACAAGCCUAAAUCAGGAAGUCGCUCCUGUGCUUCCAGUGGGGGAAAUGCAAAGGUUGAUGCCUCAAACCCUUCUAGUGGCAGGAGAUUGCUACACACGGUGCACCUCCUAAGCUGAGCUUUUACUUCUAAGAAAGAGACAGGAAAUUGCUUAAAGGCACCAGUGUUAAAAUAAUAUUUACAUUACAGGGUAAAGUAAUUUCAAGUUGGGAAAUGUAAACUUUGGAAGUGUUUGAGUAGCUGUUGGUUCAAGCAAACUCAUUUCUGCUUUUUUUUUUUUUUAAGAAUGGUUUCAGACAAUAUAUGCAAUUACAUGAUCACGUGGUAUUAUUUCUACAAGACCUUUGCUCAUUCAGUGAUCACUAGAAGUUGAAUGGACAACCACACAACUUGUAUUUUAUAGAUUUCAAAUUCUUCACUGUAUAAAAAUACACCUAAAUAGUCAGUAAUUUAUCUAUGGUUAAAAUAAUUUUUAGAUAUGUGAUUUUUAAAGACAGGUUUUAAAUGGUCAGAUAAUUCUAUUUAUUAACCUAUCAACUAACAUAAAAGAAGUCAAGCUGUUAAAAACUUCCUGAUGAGAAAAAAAAAAUCAAUUAGAUAUAAAUCUAAGGUACUGUAAGUCAAAUGCAUUUAGAUAUUAGUAUGAAAUGGUUACCAGGAGACAUAGAAUUUAUGUAAAUUAUUAUAUUUUAAUGUAUUUGUUUUCUGAUAACACUGAAACUUCUUAAGUGAGAGUUUUUGGUGGCAGCACUCUUUACAUACUGGUUUCCACAAAUAAGGAAUUGCUGUGGAUGCCUGAUUGCUUCCUUUGCAUUAUAUCUAUUCUGUUUACAAAGGGGCUUUUAAUAAUGUACUAUUGCUCUCAAAUAAUCCUGUGCAAAGCACAGAAUGGACACAUUUUUGAAAAUGGGUGAGUGUGUAUUCGAUAACUUAACCAAGACCACAAUACCAGCAGGUUUUGAAUAGUAUGGUCGUGCCUUAUCUUUCUGUUUAAUUCAUCGGCUCUCUAAAUACACCAGUAAAAAGGUGUCUGUGCACCUGGGUAGAGGUAAUUAUUAAAUAACACUGCCAAUUCAUACCUUAUGUAAACAUACUGCAAAUACAAAAACAAUUUAUGCUUUUAAAAUGUUAAAUAAUAGAUCCUCUGAUUUUAAAAAGACAAAAACAAAAUUAGAGUGCUCUAGGGGAGAUAAAACAUGUUUUGUGACUUCUGUCUUUACACUGACAUUUGAAGUCCAAUUACAGAAGAUGAUGUGUUGUUUUGAUAGAGAAAAUUAAAGAUUCAGAACCACAACUGUUUCACUGAAAAUGUUUCAAACUUUCCUCAGACAACUUAGCCCUGCCUCAUUCUUAGAUAAACAACAGCCAUUUCUGGAAUGAAGCAACUUCCUUGUGAUACCACAGGAGUAUUCACUUUCCCACUCCAAAAAUCUAUAGAUGCAGAAAGGAAAUGAAGCCUUGUAUCUAUAAAGGUGGUCAGAGUUACAAACUUCCUUAUACGUUAUUAGCACAGAAUACACUUCCCAUUAAGAGCAGACACAUCCUUCAAAGAUGAUUUUAUUGAAAUGGCUGGUUUGAAAUUUUCAUUAUUUUACAAGUCUGAAUGUUGCAACAGCUAGAAUGCUAGCACAGAAGUUGCCUGCAAAGUGGCAAUUUAAUCUAAAUCAACCAACUGGCAAUUUUAAAGAGCAGUGAUCUGUUUCAGCAACUCAACUUCAUCAACAGCAUCCUCUUAAGCUGUUUUCAGCUACAAUCAAAAAAGGACGUCCAGCUAUAUGCUAAAUCUCAUUGCAAGUCAAUAGGUUUUUAGGCUCCAAACUAUUUCAGGCACUUAAAUGGGACUUUGACAUCUUAAAUACAUUCAGUUUUAGAUAUUAAAGUAGUAAUCAGUACAUAUUUCUGAAAUGGAAUUUGUAUUCCAAACUUUGUUUCUUGAUUAUUAGCCAAAAAAUUGAUUUCAAGGGCUUAGAAAGAAAUACCCUCAGUAUUAGAGCUGGCCAUAAAAGCAAAACAAAGGUAAUGAAUGUUUUUUAAUUUUCCAUCUAGCUCAAUGGGAGUGUGUUAGUCUUAGAAUCCCUACAGAACCAAAAUAUCAAGCACUAAAAUUCAAGAAGUAUGCAAAAUGUAUGAUAAACCAAGAAGAAUUAGUGAAAGUUAAUUUGUAUAUGAUUCAUAAAUAUGGUAAGUGAUCACAGUAAAUUUUAGAUGUUAGCAAUAACUGUACAUCAAGGCAACUGGAAACUGUUUCUGUAAAUAUUAAUUUCAUAUAUUCAAAAUGAUGAAAAUGUAACUGGAGUCAAACUGCAGAAGGUUCUACAUUAAAAAUAACCACACACAGAGUAA